GGAGGUAUAGCUCAGUGGUAGAGCGCGUGCCUAGCAUGCAUGAGGUCAUGGGUUCAAUCCCUAGUACGUCAG
rnacentral:tRNA from 1 species